GUUUUCCAUGUGGGCCGCAGAGAUUUUGCGCUUGAAUAUCAAACGCUGCAAAGGGGGGCGGGGCGGGAAAAUCAAUUACGUGUACGCGUCGCAAACGGAUGUGGCAGACUACAACAGCAACACCAGCAAACACCAGCUAUACCAUCAGCUUUACCAUCCAAAGCGGCAACACCAGCAACAUCAACAUUGCCACUUUAAGCCGGAAAUGUGCGACAACCACAAGAGCUGGACGGGAUUAGGCAGCGGAGCAAGUCGAGGGUCAAGCUCCAUUCCACUCCUCGGAUCUCUGGAGCGACCACGUGCCUGACAUUUCAAUUAAAUUGCCAAAAAAUAUCUAUACGCUGCGAGAUUUAUAUCCCGAACACACGCACCAAAAACUUUAAGCCCGAAAAAUGCAAACGAAUAAAUUGCGCUUCUUUGGC
ensembl:ncRNA lncRNA:CR44151 long non-coding RNA:CR44151